AGGACGAACGCUGGCGGCGUGCCUAAUACAUGCAAGUCGAACGGUCUUUCUAUGGAAGCUUGCUUCCACUGAGAAGAUAGUGGCGAACGGGUGAGUAACACGUGGGUAACCUGCCCAUAAGAGGGGGGAUAACAUCCGGAAACGGGUGCUAAUACCGCAUAGUUUUCUUGAUCGCAUGAUUGGGAAAGGAAAGACGGCCUUUGUGCUGUCGCUUAUGGAUGGACCCGCGGCGUAUUAGUUAGUUGGUGAGGUAACGGCUCACCAAGACGAUGAUACGUAGCCGACCUGAGAGGGUGAUCGGCCACAUUGGGACUGAGACACGGCCCAAACUCCUACGGGAGGCAGCAGUAGGGAAUCUUCCGCAAUGGACGAAAGUCUGACGGAGCAACGCCGCGUGAGUGAAGAAAGGUUUUCGGAUCGUAAAACUCUGUUGUCAGAGAAGAACAAGUUGGAGAGUAACUGCUCCAGCCUUGACGGUAUCUGACCAGAAAGCCACGGCUAACUACGUGCCAGCAGCCGC
rnacentral:rRNA from 1 species